ensembl:lncRNA
CUCCGCUUCGUGGUUCCGUUCCGCUUCCUCCUCUCCUAGGAAGAGAGCGUCGUUCCUUUGCUAGGAGUGAGAGUUUGUUUCUCUGUUUAUGUGUUUACUUCAGGAAAAAGCGAAUUCGAAUGGCCUUGCUUUUCGAAUACAUGUUCCGUGGGAAAGUCAUUUUCAAGGACCACUUCCGAUUUGGACCGCGUUGGGCUCCAUAGCAACCCCCGGCGCUGACUGGCGCGUGAUGUCGGCCUCCGGUGGCUGUGGGAAGCUUAGGAAGAAAUUUCUCCUGAACCGAGGAAGCUGGCCUAUGGAAGCGGGAGUUCACCAAAAUACGUUUAUUUCCGUUGACACACACAAUAUGGAACUGUCAUAAAUAUGUGUUGUUUGGAGGACUUAAUUUAUCUUACUUGCGAACCCAGUUAACACGGCUGCAAAGGUGAUCUAGUCACCGAAUCAUGGAAUGUUAGAGAGCUGAAAGGGACGUCGAAGGACUUCGAGGCCAAUCCUGAGAAUUAACAGAACUAACAUCUGGAGAAGUGAAGUAAUUCUUCCAAGUGUAUAGGCAGUUGUGGCACGGUUGAAUUACAUUACACACCACCCCGAAUAACUAGCUUUAUAGAGACUCAAGUGUACCAUAAGCUCAUAGAACGAAGGUAAUCCAGAUCUGAGCUCAGAGUGCUGUUCUGGAGUCUCUGUUACUCCAGUCUAGCCCUGUUGCACAGUGGUAUUGACACGAAGUCCUUGGAAACCACCAAUCAUUCUCCAGGGCCAUGAGUUGCUGAGGGAAUAUGAAAGACAGUGGAAUAGUACUCAAGGAAGAAGCCCAAGCCAUGAAAGUCCACCCAGAUGCAGCCUGCUGCUGGGCCUCUGCCUGCCACGCCCGUUCCUGCCUUGACCUUCCACACACUGGUCUCCAAGUCUCAAGUUCUCUGUUAUGUAUCUCUAGCUACACACAACCUGGUAACCUGUUGUAAUUCCCACUCCCUCUCAUCUACUCUCUUCACCUAAUCUGUUCUUUCAGUCCUGUGGACCUGAUUACCUACCCAGUUUCCUUAAACAGUCCAUAUUACGAGCCAGCCCUCAUGGCCUGGUGGUUAAAGUUCAGCCCUCUCACCGCCUCCGGCCCAGGUUCAUUUCCCCCUUGCAGAACCCCACCACCCAUCUGUCAGUUGCCAUGCUGUGGUAGUGGCUCACAGAGAAGAACUAGGAGGACUUACAACCAGGAUAUACAACCAUGCACUGGGGCUUUGGGGAGGGAAAAAAACCCAGAAAAACAGUUCAUGCUGCUUCAUGUUUUGGACCUUUGUUAUUUUGUGUGUUUGGCUGUAUUGUAUUAAUUAUCCAUCCCUGCAUAAAAGUUUGCCCCAAAACGUAAUAGCUUAGAGCAAUCAAUAUUCUUCUCUCUCAUGGUUUCUGCUGAGGAGCUCAGCUGGGUGGUUCUGGCUCAGAGUCUCUGCUAACAUUGAAGUCAAGCUGUCAGCUGGGGCUCUACUCACCUGAUAUCUUGACUGAGGCUGAAGGAUCCCAUUCCAAGUGGCUCACCCACAUGCCUGGCAAGUUAAUGUUGGUUGUUGACAGGAACCCUUUGCUCCUUGCCAUGUGGAUCUCUCCAGAGGGCUGCUUGAGUGUCCACACAACCUAACAAUGCGCUUCCCCAGAGUGAAUGAUGAAAGAGUGAAUGAGGAGGAAGUUACAAUGUUUUGUAUGACUUAGACUUGUAACUCACACUGCGGUUUCUGUAAUAUCGUAUUCAUUACACAGACCACGCCUAUUCACUAUGGGAGGGGACUACACCAGGGUGCAAAUAUCAGGAGUGGAAACUUGCUGGGGGCCAGCUGACUGCCACAUCAGGCCAUCGUCACCAAGUCAGCCCCACCUCCGGAUUACUACAUGCCCAUUGCCUCUGCCUUCAGACCAGUGUUACUAGAAGGUUUGCAGCCUGAAGUUGCUCAUUUUAACACCACCAAAGCAAAGUCUGUAAAUUUAUUCUCAAAGAGGGAAAUGCCUUUCUCCCUCUAAAGGUAACCCCUCCGCUAUACCUACUGCUCCAUCCCUCCCCAGUUCAGUUCUUCUGAGGGAGCCUCGCUGCUAAGCAGAUUCAAUCCAGGGAAAACCCCUCUGCCUGCUCCUCACCUCUGCCCUGCCCUGUCUGUCUCACCGUUUGACUAACACCUCCCUUGACUCCCACAUUUCCUGGAGAACACCUGUUUGCCGUGGACUUUGGACAUUUCAUCUGACUCAACCCUCUGAUGUUUAUGUACUUUUAAUUUCUAUGACUUAACAUAGCUGACUCAUCGCUGCCUUGUGUGUGUUUUGCUUCCUUCUCUGAUUGGUGGUUCAACUGAUUCACACAGCCUGAUAUCAGGCGAAUGUGUCCUAGCAACUGCAGCUUGGCACGCUCCUCCAAUUUAUUUAUUUAUUUAUUUAUUUAUUUGGUGAGGAAGACUGGCUCUGAGCUAACAUCCAUGCCCAUCUUCCUCUACUUUCUAUGUGGGACGCCUACCACAGCAUGGCUCGCCAAGUGGUGCCAUGUCCACACCCGGGAUCCAAACCAGUGAACCCUGGGCCACCAAAGCGGAACUUGCGCAAUUAACGGCUGUGCCACCAGGCCGGCCCCCAGGAGAAUUUCUUGGUGUAGGAGCACUCUCCCAGGAUACAAGAGUUAGUAUCCUGGCAAGGACCAGGAGAUAAUGCAAAAUUGCUGCCAGGGGCCUCCUAGAAGCCUGGGAAAGUGAGGGCCAAUGAAAAGUGAGGUUGAAUUGUCUAAAUUUCUGGGGUCGACAGUAGAGGAAAGGAUUAAAAGACUCAGAAAAGUGGAUGAGCUGGAAUAGAUAUAUCAUGUUAGGCCAGAAGAUGCACCAGAGGAUUGGGCUCCACAGGAUGGCUCAGAGGAAUCACAUUCAUCAAAGCUCUCAGAAACAUACUGGUGAGAGGACACCAAUGUCACUAAGAAGUUCAGUCAUGCUUCCCCUGAAGGACAUAACUGAUGGAAGGAGGGCCUGUCCUGGAACCUGGCUCGCUAACACCAACAGGGAUGAUAGGCCCCUGAUGCAAUAGACACCAUGUAAUGGCCCUUCACGGCAGAAGCCAGGGGCUCGUAGCAACAAAGGCAGAGUGGCAGCCAGGGGGCCUGACCUGUAGAGAGCUGUAGAGACUGUGAAUAGAACAGAGUUUCCCUAGAAGGAAAACAGAUGUGUAGCAUACAAAAUACUGUUUAACAUAUGCAAUCUAAAGAGAACAAGAAUUGAUAAGCAGGACAAUGAGGAGGACAGUUACCCCAAUAAAAAGUCACAAUUCCUGUCCCGGUUUCCAUACUUGAACGAAUGUACAGACUCAGAACCAAGUAACUGAAGAGGUGGCCAGGUCCCCAGGGAGAAGAACCUGCAACACAAUGGCAAGAAUGAGCUAUGGUUGUUCCUCCAGUCCUUCCCCAAGGAGAUCUACAGCAUUUAUGGGGAUGACAGAACACUGGGCAGGGAGUACCCAGACAUUUUGGUGACUGUUGGGCACAAGGUCAGAGGUCGACUGAUACUCUGCCAACUGAAGCAUCUUCAUGACCCCCGUGUUAGAGUGGGAGCAAAUAGGUCCAUCUUACGACAGGUCCCCUGGGUCCAUGAAUGCACUGGUUGUCAUUCCUCUAGCUCCAAAAUGUAUAGUUGGCAUUGACGUACUUGGAAGUCGGGCUAACCCUCUAUUGCAUCCUUGUGAUCCUUCCGUACUGUGAUAGCUCUCACCUGUUAAUGUACCCAGCCUUUGUCAGAGCCCCCUCUCCCCUCACUGCUGUAUGAUGGGUGCCUGAACAAAGAGGCUAUGGUGGCAGAGAUGGAGGUGAUGUACGGACUGUCAUUUGCCCAAAUGAACACAGUUACUGCCACCUCUGAAUGUCCAAUCUACCAGCCAUAAAGACCAAUGCUAAGUUCUAUUCUUUAAGGAGACCAAUAGGCUACUUGGUGACCAGUUGACUACAUUGGGCCCCUUUUGUCCUGGACGGGCCAGCUGUUUGCUCUGACUGGAAUAGACAAUGAUUCUGGGUAUGGGGUUGCCUUUCCUGCCUGAAGGACCUCAAUAGCACCACUCUCUGGGGGCUUAAAGAUCGCCUGAUCCACAGACAUGGAAUCCCACAUAACAUAGCAUCUGACUAGAGGACUCUCUUGAUGGCACAGGAAAUGGGGGAGUGGUCCAUGAACAUGGGAUCCGCUGGUCAUAUCACACACCUCACCAACCAGGAGCUAUUGGAUAGAUAAAGUACUGGAAUGGCCAGUUAAAGAUGCAGCUCAAGCUCCAGCAUCAAGGCAGAACACUGCAGUGAUGACAUCUUCUCCAGGAUAUCAUCGGAUAUGUGGUCAAUCAGACAACUUAAUAUGGUACUGUGUCCCCAAGAGUAAGAAUACAUGAGUCCUGAAACAAUGGAUAGAAGCUUGAGUGGCCCCCAUUAGCAUCAUUCCAAUGACCCACUUGGUUCCCUGUCCCCACAACUCUGGGCUCUGCAGAGUUAGAGAUCUUAGUCUCCAAAAGGGGCACAUUCUCAACUGGAGCACAGCAAAGGUCCCAUUGGACAAUUUAUGGCUGCCACCAGGCACUUUGGCCUCCAAAUGGUCAGAGACUAGCAGGUAAAGCAAGGAAUCGCUGUGUUAUCAGAGGCAAAUUGACUUGGUCAGCAGGAGGAGGUAAGGCUGCUGUUAGAGGGGGCAGGGAGGAAUAUGGAUGGACUCUAGUGACCUAUUUGGGUGACAUUUGGUACUCUUUUGCCCAAUUGUGACUGUGAUUGGACAUGACAAGAGCAGAAAGCCAGGUCUGAGAUGGUGCUCAGACCCCUUAGGAAUGAGGAUUUGGGGUUCUCACUCAGGUAAGCUACUGAGACCAGCUGAGGUGGUGGCUGAGGGGGAGGGGAAUUAGAAUGGAUAGUGGUGGACGGACAUGAUGAAGGCAAGUUGCAAGCUUGCAACUGAUUGCAGUGACAGGGGCUGUGGUCCAUCCCAUUAACUUCUCUCUUCUAAGUUUUCUUUCAGGAAGAGUGGCCCAUCAGAACUCUGAAGGAGCUGUUCCCUGAAUACGGAUGGAGAAAUUGAUCCACGUGGCACAAAGGGUGCACAAUAGCGGAUUCCUCAGGGCACCAAUGGGUUACUCAGAUCCUCCUUCAAGCCAGGCCUUGCUGCUCAUCUGCAAGGAGUAUGUUUAGCUGAUAGUCUCCAGCUUUAGCUCCUUCAGGAUCCGCCCCACGGUUUGAGCUGAAGUCACACAUUUCUUCAUGGCCGCCACCAAUGACCAAGCAAGGCAGGAGUACAAGGGCCUGGGCCUUUCUGCCCAAGGCUAGACUCCUGCUCCCCAUCGGGCUGGCAGAGACUUUGUCAAGUCUGCACCACCAUCUGACAGCUCACACAGAUCAGUCCUGCCUCUUCCGUUGACUUUCUCUGUUUUACGCUCCAGGAAAUCUUCUGUACUCUUAAUUCCAUAUCAGUAUCUGCUUCUCGGAGAAGCCAACCUGUGACAACACAAAUUUUAGUAUUUCCCCAAAUGUCUGCUUUUCCCUUCCCACAACCCCCUACAUGGUUUUACGUGGCCUUGAAUUGAUGGGAUUUUAUAACUCUAUUCCUAACCACUCUGGCCAAACCAUGCUCUUUCUUUUCUAAUCUCCUAUAAACCCACUGUAAUAUUCAACCACUGAUUCCCUUGUGUUUUAAUGUUUUUUCAUGUCUUCCCAAACACAAGCUCCUUGAGUACAGGGACUAUUUCUUAAACUUCUGCAUGUUGGUGUGACUAAGUAAGGGCCACACAGAAGAUGCUAUGCUGAAUUUAAUUGAUUUGGUAAUGAAAGCUCAGUCCCUGGGAACCUGUCAGACCACAAAUAAGGCCAAGUGGAGUGAAAGGCAACUGUAGAAGAAAUUGCUAAAGGGAACAAGAAGUCAGAUGACCCUGUGUGGGCCCCAGGUUUGGCUGGUUUUCAUUACUAACGUACUCUAUUCCUGAGAUACAGUUCAUCUCCCACGAAUUACCAAACUGAGGAGAAUUCCCAGUAAUCAGUUUGAAGAAUUUCUAGUUUGACAACCAAAUUCUACCAUUUUAAAAAUAGGUUUAUUUAUUGAUUUGUUUAGGUGAGGAAGACUGGUCCUGAGUUAACAUCUGUGCCAAUCUUCCUCUAUUUGCAUGUAGGACACCGCCACAGCAUGGCUUGAUGUAGGCCUGCACCUGGGAUCUGAACCCACGAACUCCAGGCAGCCAAAGCAGAGUGUGUGAACUUAACCAUUAGGCACCAGACAGCCCAAAAAAGGUUUCUUUCUAAUCUGAUCAAUGACCCACUUUUUUAAUCAGGAAACUAGGAGCAACAACUCUCUUCCAACUUCCAAUUUUUUCCUCUUCCAACUUGGGUCCAAGGAUUGGAGGCCUGCAAAUUAACUGAAAAUAGACAGAUUAACAGGAGAAAAAAUAAGAUUUAUUUACACAAUGGGAUGAGGGGAGCGCCCAGUAAUGGAAAACUCCUGGAAUAGCCAGAAGUAACUUUCUAUGUCUCAAUUUAACAAAAGGAGGGUUCUUUAGGACUUCAUCGGGAGAGUAUGGAAGGUUCUAUUGGGCUUUUUGAUGCUAAUAGAAAUGGG